rnacentral:miRNA from 1 species
AGUUGUAGCCUUUCAAACAGA